GUGCUUGCUUCAGCGGCACACAUACUACAAUUGGAACAAUACAGAGAUUAGCAUGGCCCCUGCGCAAGGAUAACACGCAAAUUCGUGAAGCAUUCCAUAUAUAU
ensembl:snRNA U6 U6 spliceosomal RNA